rnacentral:other from 6 species
AAUGCCCUGCCUUACGCGUGAUGGGAAGCUUUUCUCUGAACCAACACGAUCUUCGAGGGACGACGAUCUGAGGACGGUGUGCAUGCUCUCCCCGCGGAGAGAAGCCUAAACUCCCAGCCCACUCCCGACCUGUUCAUGACAGGUUCAAGAAGACAACCCACACGGUAAGGCGGGGUUCCU